UCGGUGGAUGCCUUGGCGCCAAGAGGCGAUGAAGGACGUGGCACGCUGCGAAAAGCCGCGGGGAGAUGCGAGCGAUCGUUGAUCCGCGGAUGUCCGAAUGGGGAAACCCCUCCUUAGGGAGAUCGGCGGCUGAAUACAUAGGCUGUCGAGGCGAACCCGGGGAACUGAAACAUCUCAGUACCUGGAGGAAAAGACAUCAAGUGAGAUUCCGCGAGUAGUGGCGAGCGAAAGCGGAGCAGGCCAGUGGUCUUUGCAAGUUAAGCCAAACGGUCUGGAAAGGCCGGCCAGAGUGGGUGAUAGCCCCGUAGGCGUAUGGCUUGUGGAGAUCCUUGAGUAGGGCGGGGCACGUGAAACCCUGUCUGAACAUGGGGGGACCACCCUCCAAGCCUAAAUACUCCUUGGCGACCGAUAGUGCACAAGUACCGUGAGGGAAAGGUGAAAA
rnacentral:rRNA from 1 species